rnacentral:lncRNA from 1 species
CAUGGCUUUGGUUCUAUGUACAAUGGUAAUAUCUCAAUGUAUGAAUCAUACUACUUCUGUGAAACGCCAUAAAUCAUGUAUUCGCAUAUGGUUUGCUAUGUCCCUCUGUAGUAUGCUUAAUCCUAUAUUUCUGAACCUUUAAUACAUGAAGCAUGCUCUGUUGGGGUGUAAAAUGUGUAUAUGAAAGUAGUGAACUGAGAUAGCAUAAAAUACCUUGAGAAUGUGUUGGUUGGCUGUUGCUAUGGUAUUGAAUAAACUGAGAUAAUAAAUAAUCACAAUUGUUAGUUCUUCUCAAUGAAUGCGGGAGAAAUCAUGGAUAGAUGGAAGGAUUAAAGGCAAGGUUUACCUUGCAGUUUGGCAGGGUAAUGAAUGAAUGAUCUCUCUCUUAUUUCUUCAACUGUUGAGGUGUUAACUGGAAUGGCUGAAAUAAUUUGUAGUUGUUGUUCUUCAAUAAAUGCAGGUGAAAUCAUGGAGAAAGGUGGGAACAUUAAGGCAAGCUUACCUUGAGAACUUGGCAGGAACAAGAUAGGGACUGAUCUUCGAUAAUUCUUGGUGAAAACAACUGAGAGUGAGUGUUGUAUUUGUUGGCUGAAGUUAACAACUAGUAGAGGAAGAAGUUUCAGCUGCAACUUGAG